GAUGAACGCUGGCGGCGUGCUUAAUACAUGCAAGUCGAGCGAACGGACGAGACGCUUGCUUUUCUGUUGUUAGCGGCGGACGGGUGAGUAACAUGUGGAUAACCUACCUAUCAGACUGGGAUCAUCUCGGGAAACCGGAGCUAAUACCGGAUAAUAUUUUGAACCGCAUGGUUCAAUAGUGAAAGACGGUCUUGCUGUCACUACUCGAUGGAUCCGCGCUGCAUUAGCUAGUUGGGAAGGUAACGGCUUACCAAGGCUAGGAUGCAUAGGCGACCUGCGAGGGUGGUCGGCGACACUGGAGCUUGGACACGGUCCAGACUCCUACGGGAGGCAGCAGAAGGGAAUGUUCCGCAGUAGGCGGAAACCUGGCAGAACAGCGCCACGUGAGUGAUAAAGAUCUUCGGAGCGUAAAACUCGGUUAUUAGGGAAAAACAUAUGUGGAAGUAACUGUACACAGCGUGACGGUACCGAAUCAGAAAGCCACGGCUAACUACGUG
rnacentral:rRNA from 1 species